UGAAGACUGUCUUUUCACCUUUCUUAUAUUUUCCUUUGUUGUGCAAAAGCUUUUAAGUUUUAUUAGGUCCCAUUUGCUUAUUUCUGUUUUCAUUUCCAUUACUCUGGAAGGUGAGUCAUAAAUCCUGCUGUGAUUAAUGCCAGAGCGUGUUUUGCCUAUGUUUUCCUCUAGGAGUUUUAUAGUUUCUGGUCUUACGUUUAGAUCUUUAAUCCAUUCUGAGUUUAUUUUUGUGGGCAGAAAAAGAAGUAAAAGGAAUCCAGAUAGGAAA